CUUUGCAGUGCGAGAGCGCCAGGUCAUCACCUAUUCUCGAGAAUAAACGUUUGGAGCCCAAUGCCUUGACGGAGAUCUUUCUAAUCCCAGAAUGCUUCCAAGAAACUUGAGGAAAUCCUUCCACAAGAAGGACAGAGACGAACAGAAAUGGAACUUGAUGGGAGAAAGUGAUCCAUCAAAAAUUGAGAUCUGAAACAUGAAGACUGUUUCCUUUCCUACUUUUCUGCUACAUGACCUCUAGGUGGCAUGGUGAUAUAGCAGAAUAGUGCAGAUUCACAUGUGGAAAAGCACCAACUUUCGGUUUUACAAAUAAUACUACAUUUUCUCUACUCUAAAAAAAAGUCACUGGAAGUGCUCUUUAAAAACAGAAGCAAAACUGGAAGGUCAUGACAUUGUCUAAGGAAGCUGUAAACAACUCUUCCAGACGAAGCGCAAGGAUAGCUGCACAUAAAGAGCAUUACAGAAAUCAAUGCAUGCACUACAGUGGUGUCAUGUCUAACCCUACUGCCCCUGUUUUGGGAGAAGAUGUUUCAGGAUGUCUUACACAUGAAGCAGUUUUCUUCAAAAGGGUACAUUUGCAUUAUCAGCAGAGAAGAUAGAAAAUGGCACAAUUUUAGCUGAUUGCAAACGAAAGAGCCUUUAAGCAGUGCUGUAAUUUGGGUUCCUUCUUGCUGGCGGGCUUCUUCAACAAAGUCUACCAACCAAUUUAUGCAACUGCAUUCAGCUGCGUCAAGCCAUGGAUCAGCCAGGGGCUGCAACAACUUCCUGCUUCCUUU